rnacentral:lncRNA from 1 species
ACAAAGACAUGAUAAAAGGCCAAAAAUAAAAUAUGAUAUAGAUGCAAGCAAUGAUGGUAAACAAUAAAAUAAACACAGCCUAAAACAAAUUAUGACAUAUAAUUGAUGAAGCAAUUCAGCCAGAAAUAUUGAAAUUGAAGCGCAACAAAGAAAAAUACAUUGUGACAAGUUUUCCAACAACACUAGGUUAAUAAAUUAGUCUUCUACAUCUAGACAAAAGCUGUGGUAAUGUCACUUCGAAACAAAGCUAGCCCCUUCUAUGAACCAAGGACCAAAUUAGAAGCUCAUGCGGCAAAGAAAUCUUCAGGGAGAUGAAAUUUCAAACCAUUAGCCUGCAACCAUUGAAAAUAACUAAAUGAAUUAAAUAAAAACCUGCAAAAGCUAAAACCAGGUAGUUUCCAAUCAAUCGGUAAAAUUAAAAUUAAAAUAUUUAUGACAUCAAAGUUCAGAUGUUUUGUCUUGUCAUGAUAAAUUGGAUUCUUAAUAAUGAUGGUAGACUGAUUAUGACAACACGUUUAUAGAAACCGAAUUGAGGAGUUCAAUUUCAUGAAACACUCUUUUUAACCAUAUUCUCUCACAAAGACCUUGAGACAGCUCUAAAUUCAUCUUCUGAUGAAUUAGGGACAUAGCAUGGCAUCAUAUUCUGUUUGUAUUGAUUGAAUGAUGAUUACACUGAAUUGGAUUUAUUUAUAGAUCUUUUUUCGUGACCGGCUAAAUCAGGUUAAGUCUAGAACUGUCUCACACGUGUCUGUCAAUUUGUUAGAGUUGUUUUAAUUGUUUCUAACUGUCAGAUGUCAAUUUGUUAGAGUUGUUUUAAUUGUUUCUAACUGUCAGAUAGUUAGUUACAGUUUGUCACAGGGUUAUGCUAUAGUGUACAUUAAUCAAUAAUAAUCACAACUGGUGAAAGAUACAACCAUAAACCUAAACAACAAUCACAGAGAGAUAGAUAGAAAGAGAGGCACUCAAACUUCGCAUUAUGAAUCAUGCCAUGAUUCAUCAAUGUUAUCGAUUGCAGAUGCAUCUAUAGCGGAAAACAAAACAUUCCCAUUUUAUGCCCCGUCAUAUCUGCCACAAAAGGCCAUGGCACAGCCAGCCUCCACAAAUUGGCCAUGAUGGUCGUCACAAAAAUUCGCCAUAGCUGAUAUUUGACAAUGUUGUUAUUCAUUUAACAANCUAAUCAGAUAGGGAUGUACCUAUAUUGAUUUAAUGCGUGUGCUAGAGAAAAGUAGAAUAAAAUUUCAGUUUGGAAAGCUGAGAAGUUUCUCUGCAGAAUCACAACUCUUCUCUCCCCUUUCUCGUGAACCCUAGUUCCUUUCUUCUCAAUCAUCCUUUCUUCUCUUCAUUAUCAAUUGGAUGAGAAUCAUCUUGCAACAAUGUUGGUUGAUUCACUUGAGUGAAGAGAAAACGAAUGAGUAAAAAUCAGAAAAAUGGAUUUUUGUUUAUCAAAAUUGAUGCGGGAAUUCUCAUAGAGUUUUUGGUACAUGUCCCAUAAGGCAAUAUUAUUUAAUCAAACUCAGUAUGCUAGAGCACGAUGGUGAUUCUGGAGUAACUCCAUGUUUCUGUCGAGCAACAUGCUUCGACAUAAGGAAUUACAUUCUCAACAAUUAUGAGAUAGAACAAAUGUCAGAAGAUCCUUUAAGAUGCGAUCUAUCAAUUAUGUUCCCCCUAGUUAAUAUAAUCAUGUGUCCUUAUAGAGUAAGUUCAUUUUAGAUCAUGUUGGAUUAGAAACUUCAUAUGGAUAAAUGGAGAAGUGACACCAUCGACCUGGCAUCAGAAGAAUGACGUGGGCUUUUUGUCGUAAUGAUUUCUGGUGGACCUACACCGGGUCAAAUCCAAACCAGUUGGUCAUUGGCCUAGACUGAAAAAAUUGGUCUGUAGUGGUCAUUGAAAAAAUUAAGGUUAAAGAAGGAAAUGAUAAGGAAGUUUACAAGAAGGUUGAACAUGGUGGUAUCAACGGCGUCAAUAUUAAAGUAUAUCACUUUGUUCAACAAGUUGGAGAAGAUAGUGAAAUUUAUCCUAAUUAUAUUAGUAGUAUGAAAGAGAGAAAGAUGAGUCGCAAAGAGAAGAGAGUUGCAUAAAAGGAUAAGUGAUCUUGCGCAUAAGUUAAAAAUGAUGACAUUUUUUAUGAAAAAAGGAUUCUUGUAAACACAAGCAUUUGAAACGCAAUCAUACUUAAUAAUGUACUAGAGAGUGUUCAUGUUAAAGCUGAGGAGUACAAUACUGAUUUCACAAAGACAUGAUAAAAGGCCAAAAAUAAAAUAUGAUAUAGAUGCAAGCAAUGAUGGUAAACAAUAAAAUAAACACAGCCUAAAACAAAUUAUGACAUAUAAUUGAUGAAGCAAUUCAGCCAGAAAUAUUGAAAUUGAAGCGCAACAAAGAAAAAUACAUUGUGACAAGUUUUCCAACAACACUAGGUUAAUAAAUUAGUCUUCUACAUCUAGACAAAAGCUGUGGUAAUGUCACUUCGAAACAAAGCUAGCCCCUUCUAUGAACCAAGGACCAAAUUAGAAGCUCAUGCGGCAAAGAAAUCUUCAGGGAGAUGAAAUUUCAAACCAUU